rnacentral:rRNA from 1 species
UACGGGGGGAGCAAGCGUUGUUCGGAUUUACUGGGCGUAAAGGGCGCGUAGGCGGUCGUGACAAGUCACUUGUGAAAUCUCCGGGCUUAACCCGGAGCGGCCAAGUGAUACUGUCGUGCUCGAGUGCGGAAGGGGCCACCGGAAUUCUCGGUGUAGCGGUGAAAUGCGUAGAUAUCGAGAGGAACACCUGCGGCGAAGGCGGGUGGCUGGGCCGACACUGACGCUGAGGCGCGAAAGCCAGGGGAGCGAACGGG